GAGUGGCGAACUGGUGAGUAACACGUGGGAAACCUGCCCAGAAGCGGGGGAUAACACCUGGAAACAGAUGCUAAUACCGCAUAACAACUUGGACCGCAUGGUCCGAGCUUGAAAGAUGGCUUCGGCUAUCACUUUUGGAUGGUCCCGCGGCGUAUUAGCUAGAUGGUGGGGUAACGGCUCACCAUGGCAAUGAUACGUAGCCGACCUGAGAGGGUAAUCGGCCACAUUGGGACUGAGACACGGCCCAAACUCCUACGGGAGGCAGCAGUAGGGAAUCUUCCACAAUGGACGAAAGUCUGAUGGAGCAACGCCGCGUGAGUGAAGAAGGGUUUCGGCUCGUAAAACUCUGUUGUUAAAGAAGAACAUAUCUGAGAGUAACUGUUCAGGUAUUGACGGUAUUUAACCAGAAAGCCACGGCUAACUACGUGCCAGCAGCCGCGGUAAUACGUAGGUGGCAAGCGUUGUCCGGAUUUAUUGGGCGUAAAGCGAGCGCAGGCGGUUUUUUAAGUCUGAUGUGAAAGCCUUCGGCUCAACCGAAGAAGUGCAUCGGAAACUGGGAAACUUGAGUGCAGAAGAGGACAGUGGAACUCCAUGUGUAGCGGUGAAAUGCGUAGAUAUAUGGAAGAACACCAGUGGCGAAGGCGGCUGUCUGGUCUGUAACUGACGCUGAGGCUCGAAAGUAUGGGUAGCAAACAGGAUUAGAUACCCUGGUAGUCCAUACCGUAAACGAUGAAUGCUAAGUGUUGGAGGGUUUCCGCCCUUCAGUGCUGCAGCUAACGCAUUAAGCAUUCCGCCUGGGGAGUACGGCCGCAAGGCUGAAACUCAAAGGAAUUGACGGGGGCCCGCACAAGCGGUGGAGCAUGUGGUUUAAUUCGAAGCUACGCGAAGAACCUUACCAGGUCUUGACAUACUAUGCAAAUCUAAGAGAUUAGACGUUCCCUUCGGGGACAUGGAUACAGGUGGUGCAUGGUUGUCGUCAGCUCGUGUCGUGAGAUGUUGGGUUAAGUCCCGCAACGAGCGCAACCCUUAUUAUCAGUUGCCAGCAUUAAGUUGGGCACUCUGGUGAGACUGCCGGUGACAAACCGGAGGAAGGUGGGGAUGACGUCAAAUCAUCAUGCCCCUUAUGACCUGGGCUACACACGUGCUACAAUGGAUGGUACAACGAGUUGCGAACUCGCGAGAGUAAGCUAAUCUCUUAAAGCCAUUCUCAGUUCGGAUUGUAGGCUGCAACUCGCCUACAUGAAGUCGGAAUCGCUAGUAAUCGCGGAUCAGCAUGCCGCGGUGAAUACGUUCCCGGGCCUUGUACACACCGCCCGUCACACCAUGAGAGUUUGUAACACCCAAAGUCGGUGGGGUAA
rnacentral:rRNA from 1 species